rnacentral:rRNA from 1 species
UACGUAGGGGGCUAGCGUUGUCCGGAUUUAUUGGGCGUAAAGAGCUCGUAGGUGGUUCGGUAAGUCGGAUGUGAAAUCUCCAGGCUCAACCUGGAGGGGUCAUUCGAUACUGCCGUGCCUAGAGUUCGGUAGAGGAGUGUGGAAUUCCUGGUGGAGCGGUGAAAUGCGCAGAGAUCAGGAGGAACACCCGUGGCGAAGGCGGCUCUCUGGGCCGUUACUGACGCUGUGGCGCGAAAGCGUGGGGAGCGAUCAGG